GCGCCCGCAGCCUCGCAGCCGCUUCCUUUCCAGCGGCGGCGGCGGCGGCGCCCCUUUGAACUUCAAAGGCUUUCUCUUUUCCGCCAACGUUCUAGAACCCCGAUAAACUUUCUUUCCCCUUCCUUUUAGUGAAAGUAGCAAAGCGGCCCGGGAGGACUUGUUGUGGCUCUUUCUGUGACGUCGCCAGCGGCGUUCCUGCUUCUGGUUGGCUGGUUGGCUUCGAAGGGGGAGGAGACUGAGAGUCUUCCCCCACCCCCUUUUUUUGGGUCCCAGGAAGUGGACUUCAUAAAAGCAAACACGCUCCUUUAAAAAGAAGGGAGGGACUUUUUUGCACCGUGGGAAGUGGGCUCCCCUACUAAUCUGGAAGUUGUAAGCAUCCGUUGCCCGCGUUAGAAGCAGCUGCCAAGGGUCCAGAGGUGGCCUCAAGGGUCACCCACCCUUCCGCUUUUCCCGCGCCAGAGAGGUUUUUGUUUCGUUCUGCCGCUUUCCCCGGAAAACACUCCGUUUCGGGAAAACACACUGUUUACUUCUGAAUCGACGUUGGGGAUUAUCCACACUCAGAGAUUCCGAGGAUGUUUCUUUGAAUUCAACAGAGCUUACUGUGUGUGUACAGGAAUGCAGCCCAAAGUCUAUAUUUAUUCUGUGCCUGCUUCCCUUCUCAGGUGUGUAUAAUAAGUUAUUUUUGCUGUAAAGGCAACAGAUUCUAAAGAAUCAGUCGUAAUGACCACCAUAAGAUAAUAUGGAUAUUAUUGCCGCUAUGAAUAGGUUGGUAACAAUUUCGAUGCCCUCCUUGUCCACAUAUCCUUUUAAAUAAUUUAACACAACUACCGUUGGAUCUGUAUUGGCCAUUUAUACCUUGUCCUCUGAUCUACUUCUGAUAAAAUUGUCUUCCAGUCUAAUUGAUAGCACUACCCGUGAGGCCGACAACAAAAUGUUGCAGUGUUCCUGUUCACUGUGCCAGCCAGCCAGCCACGCCUUCCUACACGGCCUUUCCCCUCUGACUCAGUUUCCUUUCUGCCGGCUCCGUCCCUCCACAAACAACCGGCCGAGAUUCU
rnacentral:lncRNA from 1 species